AAGGAGUAAUCCCGCUAUGAGAUGGACCCGCGUCGCAUUAGCUAGUUGGUGAGGUAACGGCUCACCAAGGCGACGAUGCGUAGCCGACCUGAGAGGAAGGUCCCCCACAUUGGAACUGAGACACGGUCCAAACUCCUACGGGAGGCAGCAGUGGGGAAUAUUGCACAAUGGGGGAAACCCUGAUGCAGCAACGCCGCGUGAGUGAUGACGGUCUUCGGAUUGUAAAGCUCUGUCUUUAGGGACGAUAAUGACGGUACCUAAGGAGGAAGCCACGGCUAACUAC
rnacentral:rRNA from 1 species